rnacentral:rRNA from 1 species
UACGUAGGGAGCGAGCGUUGUCCGGAAUUACUGGGCGUAAAGGGCGCGUAGGCGGGUAUUUAAGUCAGAUGUGAAAGCUCCGGGCUUAACUUGGAGAGUGCAUUUGAAACUGGAUAUCUUGAGGGCAGGAGAGGAAAGUGGAAUUCCUGGUGUAGCGGUGGAAUGCGUAGAUAUUAGGAGGAACACCAGUGGCGAAGGCGACUUUCUGGACUGUACCUGACGCUGAGGCGCGAAAGCAUGGGGAGCAAACGGG